CUACAAAGACAGAGGGCGGACCCAUACAUCUCAGAGGACAUGGGGCAGUGGGGUAAUCAGGUCAGCUCAGUGGGGAAGGGGUGUACAAACGAAGGAACUGCAGGGCGUGAGCUAGUACUGCCACACGUAUACACGUCACACCCAAAGGAUAGCACUGCCCGUCCCACGCUAACCCCAGACAACACACACGCAAAAACACUUCAACUGCUCCACCACCACCAACUUACGGACUGCUCGAGGGCAAUGAACCCAAAGACCUGAGGCUAUACCUUCUACUCCCGGACUCACGCCUCCUACUCGAGACUG